rnacentral:rRNA from 1 species
GAUGAACGCUGGCGGCGUGCCUAAUACAUGCAAGUCGAGCGAACAGAUGAGAAGCUUGCUUCUCUGAUGUUAGCGGCGGACGGGUGAGUAACACGUGGGUAACCUACCUAUAAGACUGGGAUAACUCCGGGAAACCGGGGCUAAUACCGGAUAAUAUUUUGAACCGCAUGGUUCAAUAGUGAAAGACGGUUUCGGCUGUCACUUAUAGAUGGACCCGCGCCGUAUUAGCUAGUUGGUAAGGUAACGGCUUACCAAGGCGACGAUACGUAGCCGACCUGAGAGGGUGGUCGGCCACACUGGAACUGAGACACGGUCCAGACUCCUACGGGAGGCAGCAGUAGGGAAUCUUCCGCAAUGGGCGAAAGCCUGACGGAGCAACGCCGCGUGAGUGAUGAAGGUCUUCGGAUCGUAAAACUCUGUUGUUAGGGAAGAACAAAUUUGUUAGUAACUGAGCAAGUCUUGACGGUACCUAACCAGAAAGCCACGGCUAACUACGUGCCAGCAGCCGCCGUAA